rnacentral:rRNA from 1 species
GACGAACGCUGGCGGCGUGCCUAAUACAUGCAAGUUGAGCGCUGAAGGUUGGUACUUGUACCGACUGGAUGAGCAGCGAACGGGUGAGUAACGCGUGGGGAAUCUGCCUUUGAGCGGGGGACAACAUUUGGAAACGAAUGCUAAUACCGCAUAAAAACUUUAAACACAAGUUUUAAGUUUGAAAGAUGCAAUUGCAUCACUCAAAGAUGAUCCCGCGUUGUAUUAGCUAGUUGGUGAGGUAAAGGCUCACCAAGGCGAUGAUACAUAGCCGACCUGAGAGGGUGAUCGGCCAGAUUGGGACUGAGACACGGCCCAAACUCCUACGGGAGGCAGCAGUAGGGAAUCUUCGGCAAUGGACGAAAGUCUGACCGAGCAACGCCGCGUGAGUGAAGAAGGUUUUCGGAUCGUAAAACUCUGUUGGUAGAGAAGAACGUUGGUGAGAGUGGAAAGCUCAUCAAGUGACGGUAACUACCCAGAAAGGGACGGCUAACUACGUG